GCGAUAGUUACGCUGAUGGAGUAGGAAGUGUUACAAACAGCUGAUCGGAUCGGCAAAGCGUGUUUCUGGAAUAUUUUGUUUUUGUUGCUGCAAGCGCUUUUUAUGCAGUUUUUGCAAAGCUAUAUGUGGAAGGAAACCGUGACCUAGGACAAGCUGAUGGCAUAAAAUCAGAUGGUCUAUAACAGCAGAAGACUACAUCAGGUCCCAAUAUGAGCAACAUUCAGAGGUAGGGUCAGAAUUUUGCAUAAAAAACACGAAAGUGUGUCUCCGUCAUGCCUCGUUCAGGCAGUUUUGCUAUACUAUUGGCUGCAAAUUACUUCAGGUGAAUGGAAUGUCUCUAAAUGCUCAUCUCAGCCAAAAAGCUAAGGAUUUUUUUUAAAACUGUGAAUCAUGCAAAACCGCUCUGGUAAAAUGCAGGAAUUGUUUUAAAAAAGGGAAAUGAGCAUAAUAAGUUCCCUUUGACAAUAAUUUUUUUUUAAAAAUCACAAAUUAUUAUGAUCCUACUUUAAGUCUAAUCUCUGUACUCAAGUAAUUACACUAAGUCAUGCAAAUGUUUUGUGUUUGUUCUUGACAGGGAAGCACGUUUUCUUUCUGGCUGCUUCUCUGUGGUCUGACCAGAAACUAACUCAUCCUUAUUCUAGAAAGUGAACCACAACACGUGGCAACAGAGCCCACAAACAUGAGCUCAUUCCUCUUGAGGGGAAACUAGCAACUGAAAAAAACAGAAAGAGAGAAAGUCCCAGUGUUCCUCUCCACAUCCAUUUGUCUUUGGACUACAUUCCUGCUCCUCUUCCUCAAAUGAAAUGGUUAUCCCUGCAAACAAUGAGAAGACUGAGCUGCAGGAGCAUCUGCAGCAUGUGAAGUGGGACAUGAAACAAAAAUUGGCUCACAAGGUCGAGGUCAACUUCAGCAUCAGCACAUUCUUUGAGCCAAGGCGUUGGAGAGAAAGCAGGCGCGAACUGAAAAUGGCCCUAGUCUCUUCCUAACAUGCUUUUAUUUCCCACAUACUUCGUGAUCAGCAGGCCUCAGUAUGUUAUCAGGUAAUACUGAGACAAACAGCUGCUUACGUGCUGAAAUGUGGAUGUAUUAUUUGAGAAAAGCAUUACACAUGAAUCAGAAGAACAAUACAUUUUGACCAAUAGGCUAACAAUUAAAGUAAACUCAUCAGUAUUAAAAAUACAGCUGGAAAGGUGAACUGUUCCUACUUUAAGAGCAAGUGCAAGUGCAAGCAGAUAUGUUGCAAAAUGUAUUUACCAUCAUAAUUAAAUACAAAAAGAAAGAAUGUGCAGAAAAAAUCUGAACUCUAAACUCACACCUAUGAUAUUAAUUUAAAAAUCAUAGUUGACCUUUUCGAGUUAUUGUAACAAAAAAAGGAAAAAAGUCUUUUCUGUGGCUAAGUCCUCAAUUUUCCUUUAUUCCUUGUAAUGUUGUCAGUCUCCAUAUGAGUCACGUUGACCACGUGCUGUGUGCUUCAUGCUUUGCUCUGGAAUGUCAGGUUUCAAAUUGCAUGUACCCGAUAUUGCCUUGCCAUGCCAUGCCAGAGAUAUAAGAUUGUGUGUAACUGUAA
ensembl:lncRNA